rnacentral:lncRNA from 1 species
UUUAUGUUUAGAGUCAGAAAAAUUACACAUACAAUGAUAUUUAUAAAGUUGUACCAUUGCAGCAUAUUCUUCAGGAGAGACCCAUUCAGAUGAUUCCAGUUCCACUCCUGACUUACUCCUGCUGUGGAUUGUGUUGCCUCUUUUAGUGAUAAUAUUGAUUCUGCUGGUAGUCAGAUUUCUUAAUACUUGCAAACACAGAGUUUCCUCAAAGACAUCAACAGCAGCAUCAAACUCAGAUGAAGACCAUCCAGGAGAUGAUUCUUCCCCUUCAGACGAUAUGUCGGAACAACUUGUUUACACCACUGUGACCAUAAACAAGACAGAACAAACUCAAGAACUGGGUUCGUAUGUUAUGGACAUUUGGUUAUUUUAUUGGAUUUUUUUAUUUAUUUAUUUCCUUUUACAAAUUUAUGCCAGAACAGUUAAGUCACAUUUCACAAAUAUUUUCAUUGAUCUUAUAUUAAAAAUGUAAUGCUUGUUUCCUAAAAGAAAAUACAUAUUCCCAAUUUCAAUGGCAGAUUCAGGAUUAUCACGCUCUACACUGACACAGAGUCCCCCAGCAGUUGAAGAUUUGAGUUCUCCAGAGACAGUCAUUUAUUCAUCCAUCCAAACAGUAAGACUAUUUUGUGCCUACAGUGAGCUGUAUUUUAGAAUUUGCUAAAUAAUAUUUUUAAUGUAAAUACAUAUUUAAUUUUAUUACUGUAAACCAUCUUUUUCUUUUAUCCCCUUAAGUUUAUGUGAUUUGCUCUGGUAUCAUCAUUAGACCCAAGUUAUAUAGUUUUUGUUUAUUCCACCUAC